AGUUUUAGACUGUUUUGUCAGACUGAAUUUAUCUAUAAGUUUUAGUUCAUUGAAUAAAUACAAAAAGUAAUGCCACAAUAUUUUAGUUCAGACAAAAUAAGUUGAAAGGAAUACUCUGAGAAACAAAAUUGCUCUAGUCUGCGAUAUCUUUUUUCAGUUUUGCUGAUUGCUUUAACUCUGUUCUGAGUCUUAGAAAGUUUUAAAAUUAUUGCAUCUUAUAUCACAUAGUCUCCUUCCUAUGUGUGCUGAUCCUCCCUCUGCCUUGCAGGUUAUUGAUUCCAAAUGUGAUCUUCCAGCUUGUGUUUCUGCCAUUCUGUGCUGUCAGUCUGAUAUUGCCUGCUUAGAUGAGGAAAAGUGGCCCAGGAAAGUAUCAGCCGGCAUCUGACAGACUGCCAAUCACGUUGUUCUGGGCAUUGCAGAGAAAGAAGACAUUAAAUGGAAAAAAAGUUGUUCUUGAAGCUAUCAGAGACAUAGCUGCAUUACUGAAAGUACAUCUAAUGUAGUCCCAUCAUCACUGACCACUUCAGUCUCAAUGAAUGGCUGACAUCUGGUAGCUCCCACACCUCGGAUGGCUUGCAGCAGAGCAUGCUGAGUCCUCUGCGAGGUAUGAAAGAUGCCCAGGAAGUACCUCCAAGCAAUAAAAAAAAAAUCUCUGGAUUCUUAAUUACCAACAAAAGCAGCAAAGAUAUUUAAAAACAGAGCAAGAUCAGAUCGUCAAAAAACCCCAGAUGGUUUCUAAAGUGUUAACAGUAUUCCAAAUGCCUAAAAAACCUCCUCCUGAAACCCCCAGUCUCACUUCUAGGUGCAAGUAGAAAGUGUUGACUUUGGUGGAAGUUUAUCGAGCAGCAAAGUUUACCUCAUUGGUAAAUCAAUAAGACAAGUUUAAAAGGAUUUUUACAGGGUGAAAUCAAAUAGAUAAAUUCCAUGAAGAUACAGAGAAAAAUACUUCAACAAAUAUGUUACUACAAACUCCAUGUCUGACUGGGAAUUUGCGAAUGUGAAACUUCAUAUAUGAAUUCCAAAAUCAAAUAUGUAAUUUGCAUAAUUUUAUUAGCAGUGAGAAGGAUGCAACACAUUCACUGGUCAGAAUAUUUGCUUCUCCCAGAGCACCUGCUGAUACCAUUUCCAGAUACUUCACUUGUGCUGCAUUUUGUGAACUCUUUGGUUUAGGAAGAGACUGUUCUGAUCAUGGGCAAUUUUCCUGAAUAAAAGAUGCCUCAUUUACAUUUAAGGGUGUCAUGUCAUUACAAUCGGAUUUAAUUUCUGUUUUGCCAGAAGUUUUAGGUUCACGCUUCUUGAAAAUGUAGUUAUGUUAAUGGCACACACAUAUUUUGACUACUGUCCUUCAAAUGUCCUUGUUAUGCCUGAAAUUUUGCUAAAACUGUCUUUACAGUAGGCUUUUGGUGAAAAAAAAAAUCACUUGUAUCUAAAAAUAUAUACAAUACAUAAUUCUGAUUGUAAGUGCUGCCCAAGCACAGAAAAGAGAAGAUCUUGGCUGGGGUGAAGGUCACAGAGUGUUUCUAUGAAACAAGUCUGUAAACAAUCACUGAAAUCAGUUUAAAUGUAUCAAUAACAGAAAUUCAUAAUGUAUCCUUGACAAGAAUAAAAUAAUAUGUUUAACAUCAAUACAUAACUAUGUUUGCAUUCAUAUGAAUGAGAUUUUCUUUGUUUCCAUGAGCAGAAGCAGAAACAGGCUAGAUACUUUAAAUUUCUUCAAUAAAAAUAUGUAAAAAAGAAAUGUUAAAAUUACUCAAGGAGGUGAAUCCAGUAAAAACUUUUAAAAAAGUAAUCAAGAAAAUUUUAAAUUAAGCCCCUGCUAUUAUAAAAAUAGAUUCCUGGGAUAAAAGAGUCAACAAAACAUCCUUUUUUCCCCAUGUUCUCCAGCAGGAUUUCUGUCAAGAUCCUUGUUGGACAUAAGUAAUAAAAUUAUUUUGUGAAGAUUUCUUGUUAUCAGCUGAAUGCUGCAGUCUCCUUUCUGAAUAUAGCUCAGAGUGAAAGAUGUGAAUAAAGGCAUGUUCUUUGAUCAAACUGCUAUUUUCCCUUUUCUCCAUUUCAUAUUUUAUUCUUCUCUCUGUAUGAUAAAUUUUGUUGGUGGCAUAUAGCUUACUCUAGUCUUAAAAUACAGAAGAUAGUAGUCCUUGAUCAGUCUCAGGGAUAUAGAACAGAAGCAAAUAAGAAAGGUAAAAAUAUGUUUCAGAGAGAAAACAGUGAGAAAAAAACAUGUGGAUAAAUAUUAUUUCAUGAAAUCUCUCUGCUUCUUCAGGAACUUAUUUUACUUGGAGUACCAGGGAAGGCUGAUCUGGACAAAGCCUUUUGGAGCAGUGUGGCCUUUUAAUAUAACUGCUAGGAAAAAAGAGCAUAAAAAUUAUAACUAUAAUUAAUAGUCCAAUUUGAAGAGAGACUUGUUUACAGAGACUUCUGAGGUUUUUUUUAAUUAUUAUCACAACAUAUACUGGUUGUUUACAUUUUUAUUUGAAGCAUGUAUUUAUGCAUAGUAAAGAUGUAAACUCAUGGCCUGUACCUCUUUGCACCUUCAUUUGACCUGUUUUGCAGUAUUUAUCUAUAGCACAUGGGAUAAAGUCAGUCAGGCACUGGGGAGAAAAGAGAUUUGAUGAGCUCAUUCUAUAAUAUUCAAUCGAAAGAUGAGAAAUUGCAUCUUGUUUCCUUUUAUUCAUUUAAUCCCUGUGAAAUUAAGUUCCAUACUCGGUGGACUGUUUUGUUUGUGUUUUCUGUAGGACUCUGUAGGAGGAUCUAUCCUUCAUCCAAACCAAUGUACAACAUAUAAACUGAAUAAACACAAGUUGAAUUCA